CGCGAAUCGCCCUUCGGGGUGCACCAGGCGCGAAAACUUUACAAUGCCGGCAACGGCGAUAAGGGAACCUCGAGUGCCAGGUUACAAAUCUGGCUGUCGUGAUGCCUAAAAAGCAUUGCAUAGCAAGGGCCGGGCAAGACCGGUGCCAGCCGCCGCGGUAACACCGACGGCUCGAGUGGUAACCGUUAUUAUUGGGUCUAAAGGGUCUGUAGCCGGCCGGGUAAGUCUCUUGGGAAAUCUGGCAGCUUAACUGUCAGGCUUUCAGGAGAUACUGCCUGGCUCGAGGCCGGGAGAGGUGAGAGGUACUUCAGGGGUAGGGGUGAAAUCUUGUAAUCCUUGAAGGACCACCAGUGGCGAAGGCGUCUCACCAGAACGGACCUGACGGCAAGGGACGAAAGCUAGGGGCACGAACCGGAUUAGAUACCCGGGUAGUCCUAGCCGUAAACGAUACUCGCUAGGUGUCGGCCACGGUGCGACCGUGGUCGGUGCCGUAGGGAAGCCGUGAAGCGAGCCACCUGGGAAGUACGGCCGCAAGGCUGAAACUUAAAGGAAUUGGCGGGGGAGCAC
rnacentral:rRNA from 1 species